GACGUUGGUUAUCCAACAACAUGUUCGUGACACAACUCAAAAAAUCUUACAUGGCUGGACGGAGCACUCUCCUGACUUAAAUUAAUCAGAUCAGUAACGAGGGCAGUGAAAUAUAAGCCGAAAACAAAAUUCAAUCUAUUGUACAAAUAGCUAAUCAGGACUUCAGCCUAAAGCGCGUUACAUAUCAAUCAAUAGCAAAAGAAAGGUAAAAAAAUUGUUACAAUUUUUUUAAUGGGAUAUUUUGGCGGAAUACUUCCACUAAAUUCACGGAGCACCAAUGAACCACUGGAGUAUUGUGUUGAUUUAAGUGAGCAUGGUGUGCAUUAUAACAUUUUUUCUCCACCGAGAUUAAAAGAAAAAUACUGAUUGCUACGCAAUGAUUUGUCAGCGAUUAGUUAUAUGUAUAGCCGUAGAAUCAUGCUGGAGCACUGAGGAACAGGAAAACACGAGUUAAGCUUCUAGUAUGAAAUGAUUGUUGACUGUGACCAGUGACUACAGAUCUAACAAGACUAAACAUGCCUUUGUUCUGGAAGGGUCGUGAAUUUGUGCCUCGAGAACGAACGCCAUCUGCUCUAUCCUAGUACAAAAAUGUGAAACACUUCGCACUGCAACAGUCUACGGCACGUUGACGAUAACGGAAAAUUGCUUCGAUACCAACAGCUAUAUCUCUUUGGUCAGUGUCUCGAGCUCAGUGUUGCCAUAUCUCUGAAGAGCAAGAAAGAGAAUAUGUGUAACAAGAUAAAAAACGAGACAGAAUAUGUCAAAAGGAUGCCGCGAGAUCUUUUAUACACGGAUGAAAGCAGAUAUAUGCUUGUGUGAAGUGCAAACACCAAUUGCCAUGCAUAUGGAAACAGAUGUGGCAACACUGCGAACGUACUAUACAUGUAUUCGUUUCUUCAGUCGAUAAGGUAGUUGUGCCAUGCAUGCUCUAGCAAGGUGUGGUAAGAGAAGAACUGAUAAAACAGACACAACUGUUAUACCAAUUGUGGAAACCCAACCUCACCUUGGGGUACCGGGUACUCCAAUAAUGACGUCCCAGCGGUAACAAAGGCAUGUUUAGUCUUCUUGGAUCUGUAGUCACUGCUGUGACUGUACACGCUCCUACUGACAAGAAGGGGCGCGACGUUCAGUCGUUGAUGCUGAGCAGAUUGCCGGUUUCAGGCGCUUUUCAAUCGAAUCUUUUAACGUUAAUAACUUAAAAACGAAGUCGCGAACACUAUUUCGUCAUUCUUAAUAUUCAUCUUAUUUUGGCUCCUAGAGUAAUCUCUUAAAUUUGAUCACUCCUGGUAUCGAACAUUUGGUAUAGUGGUAGAUUUCAGAAGCAAAAUAUAUUUUGAUUAUUUAUUUUGAGAACGUUCUUAAUGUAAUGAAUACUAAAGACUUGACAUAAAAUUAAUACAGAUGUUAAUUACAUAUAUAUUGUUUAGAGUCUAGACGUGCCCCUUUAAGUAUUUUGUAUUAUAGAAAAACUUUAAUUCUAGAAAUACUAUUAAUUAAUUUGCAAAAUUCUAAUUUUAAAAAUAUUAUACGCUAAAACGAUGAUGGUUUUAACUUAGAGCGGGUUACA